UUUUUAUUUGAUGAAAUAAAAAAAAUCAUUUAGUAUAUAAAACGUUUAGUAUGUAUAUACUAUAAAUAUACCACAAAUAUAUUAUAAAUAUAAUAAAAGAAAAAAUAAAUUAAAUAUUAAAAUUGUUGUGCUAAAAAAAAAAAAAAAAAAAUUAUGUAUAUGUUCUAAAAUAUAAUUUAUUUUUUAUAUUUAAACAAAAAAACUUACUAUUGUAUAAAACUAGAAAAAAAAAAAAUUUUUAUUUUCUAUCAAUGACCUAUAUAAAAUAGGUAACUGUUCUUUUUUUAAAAAAUAUAAUUUUUUAAUUAUUACUAUUUUAGAAUAGAUUUGAAGUAUAUAUAUAAUCUACAUGCUAUGACAUUGUUUUUAAUUCCUUGCCUUUAUUUUUUUUUUUUCUUAUAUUAAUUUAAUAUUUUUUAUCAACGAAAUAAGUAUUAAAUAAUAGUUUACGACAAACAAUAAGUUUUUAACAUAGACUAAUAAAAAUUAAUAUUUUUAAUUAGUAUUUAGAUAAUAAUAUUUAAAAAAAAAAUUAGUUUUUAAUAUAUAUUAUAAAAUAUACUGCUUUUAUAUAUAUUAUACUAAAAUAAAAAAAAAAGCUAAAACAAAUUAAUGUAAAUAUUUUAUGUAUUUUAAUUUUUUUAAAAUUUUAAAAAACUAUUAAUCAUAAGCAUCCUAAAAAUUUAGUUAUUAUUAUAUUGUUUACAUAUACAAUGGGUAGUAAUAAUAGUGGUACUAAGAAAAAUUUAACUAACUACCCACCGUAUAAUGUACAACAUGCGCAGUUAAAUGCUACUUCACUAACUUAUAAGAAAUUGUGUUUUUUGUGGCUUUUCUUUUUUUUAUUACUAAAUAGUAUAAUACCAUUUGAAUCACAAAAUGACAAUAAAAAUGGCAGAAUUAUAAGUGAGCUCGAUAAAAAUGACAACAAACAAGAAGUGGUAACAGAGCUAAACAAUACAGAUUUGAAUAAGGUUGAUGAUGUAAGUGAAAACCAUGAUAAAAAAGAUAGUAAUAAUGGAAGUAAAAAUAAUGAACUUAUUGUGCCUGUUCAGGAUGAAGUGUUAUCUGAUAACAUUUAUACAGAACCAAAAGAAAAUGAAAAUAGUGAUAUAAACCUAAACGAUAAUGUUAACAGCGCAAGUAGUUUUAGUGAAAUGCAUCAACAAAUAUUACAAGACAUAAAAGAAAAAUGCCCUGGAAAUGAAAAUAAGCCUUCAAAUAAUAAAAAUACACACAUGCAUAAACAAUUGCAUGAUCAAAAUAAUAAUAGGAUUGCUCAUAACAUUGAAAAAAAAACGCAUCAAACAUUAAACACUGGUAAUGUUAAUAAAAAUGAAAGUAACAUAAGAGGUGAAAAAAACAGUGACGAUACAACACAGCAUGUAAAUAAAAAUAUUCAAAGUAAAAAUAUUAAAACAAAUGUUAACAAUUCGAAAAACAAUAGCAACACAAUGCCUUCAAAAUCAAGUCAGUCUAUGCAACAUACCAUAAAUGCACAAGAAAAUAUAAAUGAUGAAAAUAUGAUAAACACUACACAAAAAGAAACUCAAGUUGAUGCAAAUGAAUUAUAUGCAGAUGAUAUGACCUAUGAAGAAUCAGUCAGACACAAUAUAAGGUAUAUAAUACAAUAUGUUAACACACCAGGGUUAAAAGAUGAUGUACUUAGACAAUGGUUACAAUAUGUUUUAAGUUUACAAUAUUUUAAUGAGUUUUAUGAAAAUAAUGAAAAAUAUAAUACAGGUGAAUAUUAUACAACAGAACAAUAUCAAACAUAUGAUGGAAUUAACAAUAUGUAUCCAUAUCAAGGAGUUUAUACAACUGAUCAACCAUAUGAACAAAAUAUUUAUGAAAAACCAUCAACAGAUAUGACAUAUAAUACAGGAAACAAACAAAAAAGAUUAAAUGCACAAGAUUCGAAUUUAGGUUACACUAACUAUCCUAAUAAUUAUCCUUCUACAAGGUUACAAAAUAUAGGCGAUAUUAACACAGGGUAUCAAAACAUAAAUAACAAUAUGAAUCAAGCAUUUGGAAAUAGAGGUGAAGAUCAACAACAUAACAGACAAGAUGAAUAUAUAAAUAUGCAACAAGACCCAAAUUCUAGUUAUCGUGGACCUUAUACGGCUAAACAAAAUACACAAUAUAUACAACAAACAUAUGGUUAUCCAAAUUAUAGUAAAUAUUCUGCACAUGAUGAUAGUUAUAAAUAUACACCUUCUCCAAAAGAUGGCAUGAACCAAUAUUAUGAUUUUAAAACAUAUUAUUCUCCUAACACUAGUUAUGAUUCUACCGCUUAUUAUGACACGGACACUGUUUAUGACGAUGAAAAUAAUUAUGCUUAUGAUGUUAAUCAUGAUAUUAACAAUGAUUAUGCUUAUAAUGUUAAUAAUGAAAGUAGCGAAAAUUAUACUACUCAUGAUAAUGACACCACUCACUCAAAUUAUGAUCAACAAUAUCAAUAUAAUACUUCGAAUGACGAUAGUGAUGUAAACACUAAUAUUCAUCAGAAUUAUAGAAGUUUAGGAGGAAAACAUAAAUUAUACCACAGAAAACAUUCUUCUUAUAAUGAAUCAAACAAAAUAAAUAGAGAAGAUGUAAGACAACAUAAAAGAACAUUAAGAGGCCAAAAUGUAGCAGCCAGUGAAUAUGGUGAUACAACAAGAGCAUACAAAUAUUCAAAUUAUAAUACUCCAAAUCAAAGAACUAAACAAGAACUAUAUAUGAAUGCACCUACAAAAGCAACCCCAUUAAAUGACGACUAUUAUAAUGAUCAUGAUUUUUUUGUAGAAAAUAAUUCCAAAUCAGCUCAAAAAACAAAAAGUAGAAACAUACCAGACCAUCAAAAAAAAGGAAGCAUGUUUAGUGAUUAUAACCCAAUAGAACACAACGUCAAAUAUGAAAGCAGUCAUUCCAAGAAAGCAACACAAUAUGAUGAAAAAUCAAAACACGUAGCUAAUAAAUUAGAAUAUUUUGAUAAAAUAAUAGAUAUUUUACCAAGUAAUUUAAAUAAAGAAGACAUGCAAUAUUUAUGGGGUAAAUUUAUGAAUGUAGAAAAAAUGAAAUUUAAAAAAAUAGAAAGUUAUGUGAUUGGGUAUAUAAAAUAUUUAGCCAAAAAAUUUUUAAUACCAUCAAAUGAACAAAGCCGACAAAUUGAAAUUAUAAGUCAAUAUGCGGCGGAAGAGCUUACAACUCAAGAAAACAAUGAUAAUCUCGAUUUUCAAUCUUAUAUACGUCAAGGUAAUGAUAGUAAAGCAGAUUUCUUACAGUUUCUUGUCACAAAAAGUAAAGCAUGGGACAAUUUAAGACAUAUGAUGCAAAAUUGGUGGAUGGAGGAAUUAACUAUCCGAAUGCAACAACAAUAAUUUUUUGAAUAAAGGAUAAGAUUGCAAUACA
ensembl:lncRNA